rnacentral:tRNA from 1 species
GGCCGUGUAGCCAAGAUGGUCAAGGCGCCCGACUGCUACUCGGGAAACGCGGGUUCGACACCCGCCACGGCCU